AAGAAAGUAAGAAAGGGCGUAUGGCGGAUGCCUAGGCUCACGGAGGCGAUGAAGGACGUGAUAAGCUGCGAUAAGCUUCGGGUAGGUGCAAAUAACCCUUGAUCCGAAGAUUUCCGAAUGGGACAACCUAGCCGUCUGAAGGACGGUUACUCUUACCAAUGUAAGAGAGCUAACGCAGGGAACUGAAACAUCUUAGUACCUGUAGGAAGAGAAAAUAAAUAAUGAUUCCCCCAGUAGUGGCGAGCGAACGGGGAACAGCCCAAACCGUUGACGUCGCAAGGCGUCAGCGGGGUUGUAGGACCGCGACAUUGUAUGCAAAUCGUGAACAGAACACUUUGGAAAAUGUGACCAUAGACGGUGAUAGUCCAGUAUGUGAAGCGAAAUGCAGCAUAGCGGUAUCCUGAGUAACGCGGGACACGAGGAAUCCUGCGCGAAUCUGCCGGGACCAUCCGGUAAGGCUAAAUACUCCCGUGAGACCGAUAGCGAACGAGUACUGUGAAGGAAAGGUGAAAAGAACCCCGAGCAGGGGAGUGAAAUAGUUCCUGAAACCAUACGCCUACAAGCGGUCGGAGCAUCGCAAGAUGUGACGGCGUGCCUUUUGCAUAAUGAUCCUACGAGUUACCGUCACUGGCGAGGUUGAGUGUCACGAGACACGUAGCCGCAGUGAAAGCGAGCCUGAAGAGGGCGCACAGUCAGUGGGGGUAGACGCGAAACCAAGUGAUCUACACUUGGCCAGGAUGAAGUCCCGGUAACACGGGAUGGAGGUCCGCACCAAUAAGCGUUGAAAAGCUUCUGGAUGAGCCGAGUG
rnacentral:rRNA from 1 species